ACUCCUACGGGAGGCAGCAGUGGGGAAUAUUGCACAAUGGAGGAAACUCUGAUGCAGCAACGCCGCGUGGAGGAUGACACAUUUCGGUGCGUAAACUCCUUUUAUAUGGGAAGAUAAUGACGGUACCAUAUGAAUAAGCACCGGCUAACUCCGUGCCAGCAGCCGCGGUAAUACGGAGGGUGCAAGCGUUACUCGGAAUCACUGGGCGUAAAGCGCGCGCAGGCGGCUAUUUAAGUUGGAUGUGAAAGCCUACGGCUCAACCGUAGAACUGCAUCCAAAACUAUUUAGCUAGAGUGUGGGAGAGGAAGAUGGAAUUAGUUGUGUAGGGGUAAAAUCCGUAGAGAUAACUAGGAAUACCAAAAGCGAAGGCAAUCUUCUGGAACACUACUGACGCUGAGGCGCGAAAGCGUGGGGAGCAAACAGGAUUAGAUACCCUGGUAGUCCACGCAGUAAACGAUGAAUGUUAGUCGUCGGGGGCCUAGUGUCUUCGGUGAUGCAGCUAACGCAUUAAACAUUCCGCCUGGGGAGUACGGUCGCAAGAUUAAAACUCAAAGGAAUAGACGGGGACCCGCACAAGUGGUGGAGCAUGUGGUUUAAUUCGAAGAUACGCGAAGAACCUUACCUGGCCUUGACAUAUAUUAGAACUCACCAGAGAUGGAGAGGUGCCUUCGGGAGCUUUUAUACAGGUGCUGCACGGCUGUCGUCAGCUCGUGUCGUGAGAUGUUGGGUUAAGUCCCGCAACGAGCGCAACCCUCGUCACUAGUUACUAACGGUUCGGCCGAGGACUCUAGUGAGACUGCCUUCGUAAGGAGGAGGAAGGUGAGGACGACGUCAAGUCAUCAUGGCCCUUACGGCUAGGGCAACACACGUGUUAGAAUGGCCAGGACAGUGAGACGCGAUACCGUGAGGUGGAGCAAUCUAUAAACCUGGUCUCAGUUCGGAUUGUAGUCUGCAACUCGACUACAU
rnacentral:rRNA from 1 species